CAGGCCUAACACAUGCAAGUCGCGGGGCAGCAGGGCGUCAGCUUGCUGACGUUGCUGGCGACCGGCGCACGGGUGCGUAACGCGUAUCCAACCUACCCAUGAGUCAGGAACAGCCCGGCGAAAGUCGGAUUAAUGCCUGAUGCCGUGUGAAGAUGGCAUCUGAUUCACACGAAAGGCCUCGGCCGCUGAUGGAUGGGGGUGCGUACGAUUAGGUAGUAGGCGGGGCAACGGCCCACCUAGCCUUCGAUCGUUAGGGGUUCUGAGAGGAAGGUCCCCCACACUGGUACUGAGACACGGACCAGACUCCUACGGGAGGCAGCAGUGAGGAAUAUUGGUCAAUGGGCGUGAGCCUGAACCAGCCAAGUAGCGUGCAGGAUGACGGCCCUAUGGGUUGUAAACUGCUUUUAUGCGGGGAUAAAUCGCGGGACGUGUCCUGCGUUGCAGGUACCGCAUGAAUAAGGACCGGCUAAUUCUGUGCCAGCAGCCGCGGUAAUACGGAAGGUCCGGGCGUUAUCCGGAUUUAUUGGGUUUAAAGGGAGCGCAGGCGGGAUAUUAAGCGUGACGUGAAAUGUAGGURCUCAACGUCUGCACUGCGUCGCGAACUGGUGUCCUUGAGUUCACUGAAAGCGUGCGGAAUUCGUGGUGUAGCGGUGAAAUGCUUAGAUAUCACGAAGAACUCCGAUUGCGAAGGCAGCUCGCUGUAGUGUUACUGACGCUGAGGCUCGAAGGUGCGGGUAUCGAACAGGAUUAGAUACCCUGGUAGUCCGCACGGUAAACGAUGGACACCCGCUGUUUGCCUGUUAUGGUAAGCGGCCAAGCGAAAGCGUUAAGUGUCCCACCUGGGGAGUACGCCGGCAACGGUGAAACUCAAAGGAAUUGACGGGGGCCCGCACAAGCGGAGGAACAUGUGGUUUAAUUCGAUGAUACGCGAGGAACCUUACCCGGGCUUGAACUGCAGGAGAACGAUACAGAGAUGUUGAGGCCCUUCGGGGCUCCUGUGGAGGUGCUGCAUGGUUGUCGUCAGCUCGUGCCGUGAGGUGUCGGCUUAAGUGCCAUAACGAGCGCAACCCCUUUCGCUAGUUGCCAUCAGGUGAAGCUGGGCACUCUGGCGACACUGCCACCGCAAGGUGUGAGGAAGGUGGGGAUGACGUCAAAUCAGCACGGCCCUUACGUCCGGGGCUACACACGUGUUACAAUGGGGUUUACAGAGCGCCGGCGGCCGGCAACGUCCGUCCAAUCGUGAAAUUUCCCCUCAGUUCGGAUUGGGGUCUGCAACCCGACCCCAUGAAGCUGGAUUCGCUAGUAAUCGCGCAUCAGCCAUGGCGCGGUGAAUACGUUCCCGG
rnacentral:rRNA from 1 species